rnacentral:rRNA from 1 species
UACCCGCAGCCCGAGUGGUGCUCGAUUUUAUUGAGCUUAAAGCGUACGUAGCCGGUCUUGUAAAUCCUUGGGGAAAUCGGGCAGCUUAACUGUUCGAAGACCGAGGAGACUGCAAGACUUGGGAUCGGGAGAGGUCAGAAGUACCUUUGGGGUAGGGGUAAAAUCCUGUAAUCCUAAAGGGACUACCAGUGGCGAAGGCGUCUGACUAGAACGAAUCCGACGGUGAGGAACGAAGCCCUGGGGCGCAAACGGG